rnacentral:misc_RNA from 1 species
CCUUGUUUUCAUUCUUACUCGCACUGAGGUAUCUUGUGUUUCGAUUGUUUGCUUCUCGAGAUAGGUUCAAUUUGGAGUGUUUGAUGGUGUUUUUGUUUGAGGGAUUUGAUUGGAUUUCUUCGUUGCGAAACUCGGUGAAUUUUGUAAUUGGAAAGAAGCUUGUUCUCUGUGUGAGUAGGGUUUUACGAUGUUGUCAAGUAGUAGGUGAUUGACUUAAAUCGUUGUCAAGUGGGUAAAUCUGUGGAAAUUCGACAAGCUG